AUCUCGCCUAUCAGUUGGACCGGUCGCCUGCCGUAAAACCCCCCAACUUCUUAAAGUUGACCUCGAAUCGGUUCAGACAAACUCGCUAAAUUGAAGCAUCUUAGUCAGCGAAGGAAAAGAAACCAACAGGGAUUGCCCUAGUAACGGCGAGUGAAGCGGCAACAGCUCAAAUUUGAAAUCUGGCCCUCGGGUCCGAGUUGUAAUUUGUAGAGGAUGCUUUUGGCGCGGUGCCUUCCGAGUUCCCUGGAACGGGACGCCUUAGAGGGUGAGAGCCCCGUACGGUUGGACACCAAGCCUCUGUAAAGCUCCUUCGACGAGUCGAGUAGCUUGGGAAUGCUGCUCUAAAUGGGAGGUAAAUUUCUUCUAAAGCUAAAUAUUGGCCAGAGACCGAUAGCGCACAAGUAGAGUGAUCGAAAGAUGAAAAGCACUUUGAAAAGAGGGUUAAACAGCACGUGAAAUUGUUGAAAGGGAAGCGUUUGCGACCAGACCUUUUCCUAGCGGAUCAUCCGGUGUUCUCACCGGUGCACUUCGCUAGG
rnacentral:rRNA from 1 species